GUUAGAUUAGUAGGUUGUGGGGUUUAAUAACAGAUGGAUGGUGCUGUGCUGGUUAGAUUAGUAGGUUCUGGGGUUUAAUAACAGAUGGAUGGUGCUGUGCUGGUUAGAUUAGUACGUUGUGGGGUUUAAUAACAGGUGGAUGGUGCUGUGCUGGUUAGAUUAGUAGGUUGUGGGGUUUAAUAACAGAUGGAUGGUGCUGUGCUGGUUAGAUUAGUAGGUUGUGGGUUUAAUAACAGAUGGAUGGUGCUGUGCUGGUUAGAUUAGUAGGUUGUGGGGUUUAAUAACAGAUGGAUGGAGCUGUGCUGGUUAGAUUAGUAGGUUCUGGGGUUUAAUAACAGAUGGAUGGUGCUGUGCUGGUUAGAUUAGUAGGUUGUGGGGUUUAAUAACAGAUGGAUGGUGCUGUGCUGGUUAGAUUAGUAGGUUGUGGGGUUUAAUAACAGAUGGAUGGUGCUGUGCUGGUUAGAUUAGUAGGUUCUGGGGUUUAAUAACAGGUGGAUGGUGCUGUGCUGGUUAGAUUAGUAGAUUGUGGGGUUUAAUAACAGGUGGAUGGUGCUGUGCUGGUUAGAUUAGUAGGUUCUGGGGUUUAAUAACAGGUGGAUGGUGCUGUGCUGGUUACAUUAGUAGGUUGUGGGGUUUAAUAACAGGUGGAUGGUGCUGUGCUGGUUAGAUUAGUAGGUUGUGGGGUUUAAUAACAGAUGGAUGGUGCUGUGCUGGUUAGAUUAGUAGGUUCUGGGGUUUAAUAACAGGUGGAUGGUACUGUGCUGGUUAGAUUAGUAGGUUGUGGGGUUUAAUAACAGAUGGAUGGUGCUGUGCUGGUUAGAUUAGUAGGUUGUGGGGUUUAAUAACAGAUGGAUGGUGCUGUGCUGGUUAGAUUAGUAGGUUGUGGGUUUAAUAACAGAUGGAUGGUGCUGUGCUGGUUAGAUUAGUAGGUUGUGGGGUUUAAUAACAGAUGGAUGGUGCUGUGCUGGUUAGAUUAGUAGGUUGUGGGGUUUAAUAACAGAUGGAUGGUGCUGUGCUGGUUAGAUUAGUAGGUUGUGGGGUUUAAUAACAGGUGGAUGGUGCUGUGCUGGUUAGAUUAGUAGGUUGUGGGGUUUAAUAACAGAUGGAUGGUGCUGUGCUGGUUAGAUUAGUAGGUUGUGGGUUUAAUAACAGAUGGAUGGUGCUGUGCUGGUUAGAUUAGUAGGUUGUGGGGUUUAAUAACAGAUGGAUGGAGCUGUGCUGGUUAGAUUAGUAGGUUCUGGGGUUUAAUAACAGAUGGAUGGUGCUGUGCUGGUUAGAUUAGUAGGUUGUGGGGUUUAAUAACAGAUGGAUGGUGCUGUGCUGGUUAGAUUAGUAGGUUGUGGGGUUUAAUAACAGAUGGAUGGUGCUGUGCUGGUUAGAUUAGUAGGUUGUGGGGUUUAAUAACAGAUGGAUGGUGCUGUGCUGGUUAGAUUAGUAUGUUGUGGGGUUUAAUAACAGGUGGAUGGUGCUGUGCUGGUUAGAUUAGUAGGUUGUGGGGUUUAAUAACAGAUGGAUGGUGCUGUGCUGGUUAGAUUAGUAGGUUCUGGGGUUUAAUAACAGGUGGAUGGUGCUGUGCUGGUUAGAUUAGUAGGUUCUGGGGUUUAAUAACAGAUGGAUGGUGCUGUGCUGGUUAGAUUAGUAGGUUGUGGGGUUUAAUAACAGGUGGAUGGUGCUGUGCUGGUUAGAUUAGUAGGUUCUGAUUUGAUAACAGAUGGACUAUCUAUCAGCCAAGCUUAGCAGUUAGGAUUAGAGAGUGUUAUCUUGGAUAUUGUUUCCAAGCUGAUUUAAUGGCUGAUGUUUGAUAUCAGAAAGAGGUUACUAUUCU